ACCCUAACUGGAGCAUUGACU
rnacentral:miRNA from 1 species